GUAGGUGGCAAGCGUUGUCCGGAAUUAUUGGGCGUAAAGCGCGCGCAGGUGGUUCUUUAAGUCUGAUGUGAAAGCCCCCGGCUCAACCGGGGAGGGUCAUUGGAAACUGGGGAACUUGAGUGCAGGAGAGGAAAGUGGAAUUCCACGUGUAGCGGUGAAAUGCGUAGAUAUGUGGAAGAACACCAGUGGCGAAGGCGACUUUCUGGCCUGUAACUGACACUGAGGCGCGAAAGCGUGGGGAGCAAACAGGGAUUAGAUACCCUGGUAGUCCACGCCGUAAACGAUGAGUGCUAAGUGUUGGGGGGUUUCCCGCCCCUCAGUGCUGCAGCUAACGCAUUAAGCACUCCGCCUGGGGAGUACGGUCGCAAGACUG
rnacentral:rRNA from 1 species